rnacentral:rRNA from 1 species
UAGGAGUUUGAUUUCUGGCUCAGGAUGAACGCUAGCGAUAGGCCUAACACAUGCAAGUCGAGGGGCAGCACAUGAAGUAGCAAUACGGAUGGUGGCGACCGGCGCACGGGUGAGUAACGCGUAUGCAACCUACCUACAACAAGGGAAUAACCCGUUGAAAGACGGACUAAUACCCUAUAAUACAGGGGUCCCGCAUGGGAAUAUUUGUUAAAGAUUUAUCGGUUGUAGAUGAGCAUGCGUUCCAUUAGCUAGUUGGUGAGGUAACGGCUCACCAAGGCAACGAUGGAUAGGGGAACUGAGAGGUUUAUCCCCCACACUGGUACUGAGACACGGACCAGACUCCUACGGGAGGCAGCAGUGAGGAAUAUUGGUCAAUGGACGCAAGCCUGAACCAGCCACGUCGCGUGAAGGAAGACGGCCCUACGGGUUGUAAACUUCUUUUGUAAGGGAAUAAAGUGCAGUACGUGUACUGUUUUGCAUGUACCUUACGAAUAAGGAUCGGCUAACUCCGUGCCAGCAGCCGCGGUAAUACGGAGGAUCCAAGCGUUAUCCGGAUUUAUUGGGUUUAAAGGGUGCGCAGGCGGAAGAUUAAGUCGGCGGUGAAAUUUUGCAGCUCAACUGUAAAAGUGCCUUCGAAACUGGUUUUCUUGAGUGUGGAUGAAGUAGGCGGAAUUUGUGGUGUAGCGGUGAAAUGCAUAGAUAUCACGAGGAACUCCGAUUGCGCAGGCAGCUUACUAAGCCAUAACUGACGCUCAGGCACGAAGGCGUGGGGAUCAAACAGGAUUAGAUACCCUGGUAGUCCACGCAGUAAACGAUGAUUACUCGCUGUUUGCGAUAUACAGUAAGCGGCUGAGCGAAAGCGUUAAGUAAUCCACCUGGGAGACU